rnacentral:tRNA from 1 species
UCCAUUGCUCAGUUGGUAGAGCACAAGGCUCUUAACCUUGUGGUUGUGGUUUCAAGCCCUACGAUGGAG